rnacentral:rRNA from 1 species
GGAAGUUGACGGGGAGCACUACAACGGGUGGAGCCUGCGGUUAAUUGGACUCAACGCCGGAAAGCUCACCGGGGCGACAGCAAUAUGUAGGUCAAGCUAAAGACUUUACCAGAAUCGCUGAGAGGAGGUGCAUGGCCGUCGUCAGUUCGUACUGUGAAGCAUCCUGUUAAGUCAGGCAACGAGCGAGACCCGUGCCCACUGUUGCCAGCAUGUCCUUCGGGAUGAUGGGUACUCUGUGGGGACCGCCGAUGCUAAAUCGGAGGAAGGUGCGGGCUACGGUAGGUCAGUAUGCCCCGAAUCUCCCGGGCUACACGCGGGCUACAAUGACUGGGACAAUGGGCUCCUACCCCGAAAGGGGAUGGUAAUCUCAUAAACCCAGCCUUAGUUCGGAUCGAGGGCUGUAACCCGCCCUCGUGAAGCUGGAAUCCGUAGUAAUCGCGUUUCAACAUAGCGCGGUGAAUACGUCCCUGCUCCUU